rnacentral:piRNA from 1 species
UGACUCCUGACUCUGGACAUAUUCAGA